rnacentral:rRNA from 1 species
UACGUAGGGUGCGAGCGUUGUCCGGAAUUAUUGGGCGUAAAGAGCUCGUAGGCGGUGUGUCACGUCGGCCGUGAAAACCUGGGGCUUAACUCUGGGCGUGCGGUCGAUACGGGCAUCACUAGAGUUCGGCAGGGGAGACUGGAAUUCCUGGUGUAGCGGUGAAAUGCGCAGAUAUCAGGAGGAACACCGGUGGCGAAGGCGGGUCUCUGGGCCGAUACUGACGCCGAGGAGCGAAAGCAUGGGUAGCGAACAGG